CCAGACUCCUACGGGAGGCAGCAGCGGGGAAUAUUGCACAAUGGGGGGAACCCUGAUGCAGCGACGCCGCGUGAGUGAAGAAGUAUUUCGGUAUGUAAAGCUCUAUCAGCAGGGAAGAAAAACCGACCAUAGGGUCGCUAGACGGUACCUGAUUAAGAAGCCCCGGCUAACUACGUGCCAGCAGCCGCGGUAAUACGUAGGGGGCAAGCGUUAUCCGGAUUUACUGGGGGUAAAGGGGGCGCAGACGGCGAUGCAAGCCAGGAGUGAAAGCCCGGGGCCCAACCCCGGGACUGCUCUUGGAACUGCGUGGCUGGAGUGCAGGAGGGGCAGGCGGAAUUCCUGGUGUAGCGGUGAAAUGCGUAGAUAUCACGAAGAACCCCGAUUGCGAAGGCAGCAUACCGGCUCCACACUGACGCUGAGGCACGAAAGCGUGGGUAUCGAACAGGAUUAGAUACCCGAGUAUA
rnacentral:rRNA from 1 species